CCUACGGGGUGCAGCAGUGGGGAAUAUUGCACAAUGGGGGAAACCCUGAUGCAGCGACGCCGCGUGAGUGAAGAAGUAUUUCGGUACGUAAAGCUCUAUCAGCAGGGAAGAAAAUGACGGUACCUGACUAAGAAGCCCCGGCUAACUACGUGCCAGCAGCCGCGGUAAUACGUAGGGGGCAAGCGUUAUCCGGAUUUACUGGGUGUAAAGGGAGCGUAGACGGCAGCGCAAGUCUGGAGUGAAAUCCCAUGGCUUAACCAUGGAACUGCUUUGGAAACUGUGCAGCUAGAGUGCAGGAGAGGUAAGCGGAAUUCCUAGUGUAGCGGUGAAAUGCGUAGAUAUUAGGAGGAACACCAGUGGCGAAGGCGGCUUACUGGACUGUAACUGACGUUGAGGCUCGAAAGCGUGAGGAGCAAACAGGAUUAGAUACCCUGGUAGUC
rnacentral:rRNA from 1 species